rnacentral:rRNA from 1 species
GGGUUGUGAGGUUAAGCGACUAAGCGUACACGGUGGAUGCCCUGGCAGUCAGAGGCGAUGAAGGACGUGCUAAUCUGCGAAAAGCGUCGGUAAGGUGAUAUGAACCGUUAUAGCCGGCGAUGUCCGAAUGGGGAAACCCAGUGUGAUUCGUCACACUAUCGUUAACUGAAUACAUAGGUUAACGAGGCGAACCGGGGGAACUGAAACAUCUAAGUACCCCGAGGAAAAGAAAUCAACCGAGAUUCCCCCAGUAGCGGCGAGCGAACGGGGAGCAGCCCAGAGUCUGAAUCAGCUUGUGUGUUAGUGGAACGGUCUGGAAAGUCCGACGGUACAGGGUGAUAGUCCCGUACACCAAAAUGCACAGGCUGUGAACUCGAAGAGUAGGGCGGGACACGUGGUAUCCUGUCUGAAUAUGGGGGGACCAUCCUCCAAGGCUAAAUACUCCUGACUGACCGAUAGUGAACCAGUACCGUGAGGGAAAGGCGAAAAGAACCCCGGCGAGGGGAGUGAAAAAGAACCUGAAACCGUGUACGUACAAGCAGUGGGAGCACCUUCGGGUGUGACUGCGUACCUUUUGUAUAAUGGGUCAGCGACUUAUAUUCUGUAGCAAGGUUAACCGUAUAGGGGAGCCGCAGGGAAACCGAGUCUUAACUGGGCGUUAAGUUGCAGGGUAUAGACCCGAAACCCGGUGAUCUAGCCAUGGGCAGGUUGAAGGUUGGGUAACACUAACUGGAGGACCGAACCGACUAAUGUUGAAAAAUUAGCGGAUGACUUGUGGCUGGGGGUGAAAGGCCAAUCAAACCGGGAGAUAGCUGGUUCUCCCCGAAAGCUAUUUAGGUAGCGCCUCGUGAAUUCAUCUUCGGGGGUAGAGCACUGUUUCGGCUAGGGGGUCAUCCCGACUUACCAACCCGAUGCAAACUACGAAUACCGAAGAAUGUUAUCACGGGAGACACACGGCGGGUGCUAACGUCCGUCGUGAAGAGGGAAACAACCCAGACCGCCAGCUAAGGUCCCAAAGUCAUGGUUAAGUGGGAAACGAUGUGGGAAGGCACAGACAGCCAGGAUGUUGGCUUAGAAGCAGCCAUCAUUUAAAGAAAGCGUAAUAGCUCACUGGUCGAGUCGGCCUGCGCGGAAGAUGUAACGGGGCUAAACCAUGCACCGAAGCUGCGGCAGCGACACUAUGUGUUGUUGGGUAGGGGAGCGUUCUGUAAGCCUGCGAAGGUGUGCUGUGAGGCAUGCUGGAGGUAUCAGAAGUGCGAAUGCUGACAUAAGUAACGAUAAAGCGGGUGAAAAGCCCGCUCGCCGGAAGACCAAGGGUUCCUGUCCAACGUUAAUCGGGGCAGGGUGAGUCGACCCCUAAGGCGAGGCCGAAAGGCGUAGUCGAUGGGAAACAGGUUAAUAUUCCUGUACUUGGUGUUACUGCGAAGGGGGGACGGAGAAGGCUAUGUUAGCCGGGCGACGGUUGUCCCGGUUUAAGCAUGUAGGCUGGUUGUCCAGGCAAAUCCGGAUAAUCAAGGCUGAGGUGUGAUGACGAGGUACUACGGUGCUGAAGUAACAAAUGCCCUGCUUCCAGGAAAAGCCUCUAAGCAUCAGGUAACAUCAAAUCGUACCCCAAACCGACACAGGUGGUCAGGUAGAGAAUACCAAGGCGCUUGAGAGAACUCGGGUGAAGGAACUAGGCAAAAUGGUGCCGUAACUUCGGGAGAAGGCACGCUGGUGUGUAGGUGAAGUCCCUGCGGAUGGAGCUGAGACCAGUCGAAGAUACCAGCUGGCUGCAACUGUUUAUUAAAAACACAGCACUGUGCAAACACGAAAGUGGACGUAUACGGUGUGACGCCUGCCCGGUGCCGGAAGGUUAAUUGAUGGGGUUAUCCGUAAGGAGAAGCUCUUGAUCGAAGCCCCGGUAAACGGCGGCCGUAACUAUAACGGUCCUAAGGUAGCGAAAUUCCUUGUCGGGUAAGUUCCGACCUGCACGAAUGGCGUAAUGAUGGCCAGGCUGUCUCCACCCGAGACUCAGUGAAAUUGAACUCGCUGUGAAGAUGCAGUGUACCCGCGGCAAGACGGAAAGACCCCGUGAACCUUUACUAUAGCUUGACACUGAACAUUGAGCCUUGAUGUGUAGGAUAGGUGGGAGGCUUUGAAGCGUGGACGCCAGUCUGCGUGGAGCCAACCUUGAAAUACCACCCUUUAAUGUUUGAUGUUCUAACGUUGGCCCCUUACCGGGGUUGCGGACAGUGUCUGGUGGGUAGUUUGACUGGGGCGGUCUCCUCCCAAAGCGUAACGGAGGAGCACGAAGGUUAGCUAAUCCUGGUCGGACAUCAGGAGGUUAGUGCAAUGGCAUAAGCUAGCUUGACUGCGAGCGUGACGGCGCGAGCAGGUGCGAAAGCAGGUCAUAGUGAUCCGGUGGUUCUGAAUGGAAGGGCCAUCGCUCAACGGAUAAAAGGUACUCCGGGGAUAACAGGCUGAUACCGCCCAAGAGUUCAUAUCGACGGCGGUGUUUGGCACCUCGAUGUCGGCUCAUCACAUCCUGGGGCUGAAGUAGGUCCCAAGGGUAUGGCUGUUCGCCAUUUAAAGUGGUACGCGAGCUGGGUUUAGAACGUCGUGAGACAGUUCGGUCCCUAUCUGCCGUGGGCGCUGGAGAAUUGAGGGGGGCUGCUCCUAGUACGAGAGGACCGGAGUGGACGCAUCACUGGUGUUCGGGUUGUCAUGCCAAUGGCACUGCCCGGUAGCUAAAUGCGGAAGAGAUAAGUGCUGAAAGCAUCUAAGCACGAAACUUGCCCCGAGAUGAGUUCUCCCUGAGACUUUAAGUCUCCUGAAGGAACGUUGAAGACGACGACGUUGAUAGGCCGGGUGUGUAAGCGCAGCGAUGCGUUGAGCUAACCGGUACUAAUGAACCGUGAGGCUUAACCUUACAACGCCGAAG